rnacentral:rRNA from 1 species
UACAGAGGGUGCAAGCGUUGUUCGGAAUUAUUGGGCGUAAAGCGCGCGCAGGCGGUCUCUUAAGUCUGAUGUGAAAGCCCACGGCUCAACCGUGGAGGGUCAUUGGAAACUGGGGGACUUGAGUGCAGGAGAGAAGAGUGGAAUUCCACGUGUAGCGGUGAAAUGCGUAGAGAUGUGGAGGAACACCAGUGGCGAAGGCGACUCUUUGGCCUGUAACUGACACUGAGGCACGAAGGCCAGGGGAGCAAACGGG